UGUCAGCGGGAACCGAACCCAACUGAGCCACUGCUGCAGAAAGACUGCUAUCAUUACACUUUAACACUGAAACACAGCUUUCACUAUAUUAGUGAACACAUUUGUGAAUAGUGAGCACAUUUGUGAAUAGUGAGCACAUUUGUGAAUAGUGAACACAUUUGUGAAUAGAGAGGACAUUUGUGAAUAGUGAACAGAUUUGUGAAUAGUGAGCACAUUUGUGAAUAGUGAACAGAUUUGUGAAUAGAGAGGACAUUUGUGAAUAAUGAACAGAUUUGUGAAUAGUGAGCACAUUUGUGAAUAGUGAACAGAUUUGUGAAUAGAGAGGACAUUUGUGAAUAGUGAACAGAUUUGUGAAUAGUGAGGACAUUUGUGAAUAGAGAGGACAUUUGUGAAUGGUGAGGACAUUUGUGAAUGGUGAGCACAUUUGUGAAUGGUGAGCACAUUUGUGAAUAGAGAGGACAUUUGUGAAUAGUGAGCACAUUUGUGAAUAUUGACAUUUAUAAAUAAAG